GGGGGACUCUGUGAAGGCGCCGCCAUGUUGGUGAGGGCAAUAACGGCGCCCGGGCUGCGCCGGUGGUGCCAGAGCCAGCGGGGCGCGGCCGCCGCCUGUUUCCCGCUGGGCCGAGCGCUGCUGGGCGUGAGGGGCGCCGAGGCCGCCGCCUUCCUGCAGGGGCUGCUCACCAAUGACGUCACGCAGCUGGUGGCGGAGGGCGACGCCCCCCCCGCGCUCUACGCGCACGCGCUGAACGUGCAGGGCCGCUGCCUCUAUGACGUCAUCCUGUACAGGCUCCACGGGAGCACAGCAGAGGAGCCUCACAUCCUGCUGGAGUGCGACAGCAGCGUCCUGGACUCCAUCCAGCAGCACCUGAAACUCUACAAGAUCCGCAGGAAAGUCACCAUCAGCCCCUGCCCCGACCUGUCCCUGUGGGCUGUCCUCCCUGGGGACACCAGCUCCCUCCCCAAAUGUGCAGACCAGGCUCUGCUCCUCACCCCUGACCCCAGGGCAGAAGUCAUGGGCUGGAGACUGAUUGCAAAGAAAGGAGCAAAUCUGGCAGAGAUUAUCCCUGGCAGCCAGCUUGGAGAUGUGCAGGAUUACCACAGGCACAGGUAUAAACAAGGAAUCCCUGAGGGGGUGAAGGAUCUCCCCCCUGGCGUCGCGCUGCCUCUGGAAUCCAACCUGGCCUUCAUGAACGGCAUCAGCUUCACCAAGGGCUGCUACAUCGGCCAGGAGCUGACGGCGCGCACCCACCACAUGGGGGUGAUCCGCAAGCGCCUGCUGCCCGUCACCUUCCCGGGGCCGCUUCCCGCCGCGGGCGUCCCCGAGGGCGCCGACAUCCUCACGCAGGCAGGGAAACGCGCGGGCAAGUUCCGUGCCGGAGGGGGGGAGCUGGGCAUCGCCCUGCUCAGGCUGGCUCACCUCCACGAGCCGCUCCGCAUCCCCCUGGACGGCGACAGCGUGGAGCUCAGGGCCGCCACGCCCGAGUGGUGGCCGAAAGGGGCCGCGAAGUAGGUGAGGGAGCGGCUCUGGGAGAGGUUUGGGGUGGUUGGGGUGAGGGAAUUUGGGAAUGCUGCUGUUCUGUGGGGAGGGUCUCGCAGGAUUCCUCACAGCGAGAACCCAAAGCUGUGGCAGAUCGCUGUGGGUUGGAUCUGCCAUGGAAGGACAAAUCCAGGGAAUUGCAGCUUUUCCUGAGGGUAAUCCCCACUUUUUUAGGGUGCCAUGACUUGUUGGGACCCUGUAUUUAGGGGGUGCCCUGUGUUGUUGGGUUGGACCCUCUUUAGGGGGUGCCCUGUGUUGUUGGGUUGGACUCUGGAUGGAUCUCCAGGCUGACACUCACUCCCUCAGACUCUGCUCUCCCAAACAACGGGAUCAGGACCUUCCCUGUUCCAUGCACUGAUUUCUCAGUUCAGAAUAACCAUUCUGAGGUAUUACAAUCUUAUUGGUACCCAAAACCAUUCUGAGAUAUUACAAUUUUAUUGGUUCCCAAAACCAUUCUGAGAUAUUACAAUUUUAUUGGUUCCCAAAACCAUUCUGAGAUAUUACAAUUUUAUUGGUUCCCAAAACCAUUCUGAGAUAUUACAAUUUUAUUGGUUCACAAUAAUCAUUCUGAGAUAUUAUAAUUUUAUUGGUUCACAAUAACCAUUCUGAGGGAUUAUAAUUCUGUUGUUUUUUUUGUGAGUGGAGAUCAUGCUGCUCUUAUUAAGAUGUAUUCUCAGGCUGAAGUUUUUUGCUGCAAAUUGUUCCUUGCAUUGAGCUUCUUCAACUUGCUGAUGGGGCUGGUGUUUCUUCCCACCACUGGAACUGUGUUCAGGAAGAGGAACAUCUUGUGCUUCACAUGUCAGACCUUGAUUUUAACUCAUCCCAGCUGGGGAAAAAAGGUCUCAAACCUCCUGUCCUGUCUCCUGUUUUGUGGAGGGAGCAGAGCCAGUUCCUGACUCCCUUCUCUCAAACCAUUUUUUGGGAGAGGAAGGGGAUAUUUUCAAUGCCACAGGCGCUGGCUUGGCCUGGCCUUGCUGAGGGAGGAUUUUCACCAUGUUCUGGCUCUUUCUGUGCCCCUCACCCUGUCCCUGCUGCUGGGGUUUUCUCCAUCCACCACCCCCAGGGUUUUCAGAGCAGCCCAAUGCUUUGCUUUAAUUUUUCUGCCUGCCAACACUCCUCUGCUUCUCCAAUUUUUCUUCUUGCUGCAACAUAUUUCUCUUAUUAUAAUAUUCCUCUCUUGUUCCAAAGCAAACCAGCUCUGUGCCUCCUGACCCUGUAAACCUGCAGUGAUUUAUAGGAACCCUUUUUAUCAAUCCAUUACACAAUGAGAGAGCUGCCCAGGUGAGAUCCCAUUUUCUCCAAAACAAAACCAAAAAAGCCUUUGCAUGAAUAUUUGUAACAAAACCCGUCCCAAAUCACAUUCUGCCUUUGUUUCAGUGUUACUGUGAAUGGAAUUUGUCUGUAAAGAAAAUGCUUAUAUUGAUUAAAAUUCUAUGGUUGUUGUAAAAUGA